GACGAACGCUGGCGGCGUGCUUAACACAUGCAAGUCGAACGGAAAGGCCCUGCUUUUGUGGGGUGCUCGAGUGGCGAACGGGUGAGUAACACGUGAGUAAACUGCCCUUGACAGUGGGAUAACUUCAGGGAACUGGGGCUAAUACCGGAUAGGAGCUCCUGAUGCAUGGUGGGGGUUGGUAAGUUUCGGCGGUUGGGGAUGGACUCGCGGCUUAUCAGCUUGUUGGUGGGGUAGUGGCUUACCAAGGCUUUGACGGGUAGCCGGCCUGAGAGGGUGACCGGCCACAUUGGGACUGAGAUACGGCCCAGACUCCUACGGGAGGCAGCAGGGGGGAAUAUUGCACAAUGGGCGGAAGCCUGAUGCAGCAACGCCGCGUGCGUGAUGACGGCCUUCGGGUUGUAAACCGCUUUCGCCUGUGACGAAGCGUGAGUGACGGUAAUGGGUAAAGAAGCACCGGCUAACUACGUG
rnacentral:rRNA from 1 species